UACGUAGGCAGCAAGCGUUGUUCGGAGUUACUGGGCGUAAAGAGUGCGUAGGCGGUCCUGUAAGUUUGGUGUGAAAUCUCCCGGCUCAACUGGGAGGGUGCGCCGAAGACUGCAGGGCUUGAGUAUGGGAGAGGUAAGCGGAAUUCCUGGUGUAGCGGUGAAAUGCGUAGAUAUCAGGAAGAACACCCGUGGCGAAGGCGGCUCUCUGGGACGGUACUGACGCUGAGACGCGAAAGCGUGGGGAGCAAACAGG
rnacentral:rRNA from 1 species